rnacentral:lncRNA from 1 species
GUGUUUGUGUGUGUGUGUGUGUAUGUGUGUGUGUGUGUGUUUGUGUGUGUGUGUGUUUGUGUGUGUGUUUUUGUGUGUGUGUGUGUGUAUGUGUGUGUGUGUGUGUUUGUGUGUGUGUUUUGUGUGUGUGUGUGUAUGUGUGUGUGUGUGAAUGCCAUGUCUGUGCAGGUGCCUGCAGAGGCUAGAAAAGCCCGUGGAGCUAGAGUUACAGAUGGUCCUGAAUAGCAGCCGUGGAAGCUCAGAACCAGACUCUUGUCUUCUGGAAGAACAGCAAGUGUUCUAACUUGUGGGUCAUCCCUCCAGCUCCAGAAUUGUUGAUUCUUUCUUCUUGGUAAAGCCUGCUAUUGAAUCCCUUUCAUGAAAAUUUCAGGGG